UGUUUAUUAAUAAAUGAGGGGGAAGGUGAAUAAUUAAAAUGACGUGUCGGUGAGUGUGUUUUAUAAGAGAGAAAGGUGAGGCUGAGCUCAUAAGUGGUGAGGUCUGGCCGGGUUAAAAAGAAUAGCAGCGGUGCCACUUGGGCAGAGGAGGAGGAGGAGGAGGAAGAAGAUCAACAACACAUCACCAAACAACCUUAUGGAGAUUUGGGCCAACAUGUUUUUUCCCCUCAGGCGUGUCUGGCUUUCUCUCUCUGCUCGCCUCAAGCCUCGCAAAAACGGAGCAGGGCUGCUCAAGCUUCAGGAUGAUGUACAGACUUGUGGAUAUCAAGAUGUACAAGUGAUGUGGGAAAUGCUACAGAGAACCGAAGGUGAAGUUAUAGAAAACCACCAUAAGCGCAAGCAGUUUCCCUUCUGGAGGAUCUUUGUAUGGUCCAACCAUACUCAAUCUGCAAAUCACGCUUCAAGUUAAAACCAGACACAAGUUUCAAGUUUAUAAAUAAAACCGCUUCUGCAGCUGGCAAGCCACCCUCCUUUUAUCUUCCCAUUGCCAGCAUCAUGAUUCUUCUCUUCUUCUUCUUCUUGGCUUCUAAAACUUAGCACAUGUCGUGUUCAACUCAAACUCUACUACCCUGUCACAGUACAGUAGUAGUAUAUAUGUAAAUAUACCAAUAGUUUCACACCCAAGAGCUUUUGGGGAAUAGCUACUGUUUCUCUAACUGCAAAGCAAGUAGAUUUCAUGUCUCACUGACAUUGAAGCAGCGCCUCGUUAGCCCGGAGGAUUACAAUAGUUAACUAUGGUCACUGUUAGUAACAAGCAGCAGAGUCUUUAUUAUCUCAACUUUUGUCUCUGUAAGAUCCUGAGUCAAAACUUACAAGUGAGCCAACGCUUUAUGCUAUCAUAAUCUUAAAUUUAUCCACUUUCAGACCACAACUGUGUUUAACAAAAGAAAGACGCAUCCAAGUACAUCAAUCAUAUAUAUACGUGAAUUUCUAUUUCAUUAGUCCAGGAUCGUCCUCAACCUACUAAUCGGUCAAAUGUAUUUGAAGCAGUACAUCAGCUUGUUCCUAUUUAUACCAAUUCUAAAAGAUUUGAUAUUAUCACACAAA